CUUGAUCAAUUGAUAGAUAAGAUCAGUGCAACCAUGUUUUGAAAUCAAUUAGACUCCAAUUUGCAAACUUAUUGACAGCUAUUAACUGAAUUCCACAGUUUAACUUUUAACUUUUAAAAUGAUUGUGUAAAGUGUUAGGGAUUAAUGUGUCUGAAUGAUUCUUAAAAAUAAUUAAUCUCAAAAUCAAAUAAUCUGGGCUUAUGUAAUUUCUUU
rnacentral:lncRNA from 1 species